rnacentral:rRNA from 1 species
GACGAACGCUGGCGGCGUGCUUAACACAUGCAAGUCGAACGGUGAAGCGCCUUCCUUUUUGGUGGGUGUGGAUGAGUGGCGAACGGGUGAGUAACACGUGAGUAACCUGCCCCCUUCUUCUGGAUAACCGCAUGAAAGUGUGGCUAAUACGGGAUAUUCUGGGUCUGUCGCAUGAUGGGUCUGGGAAAGAUAUUGUUUCGGUGGGGGAUGGGCUCGCGGCCUAUCAGCUUGUUGGUGGGGUGAUGGCCUACCAAGGCGGUGACGGGUAGCCGGCCUGAGAGGGUGGACGGUCAUACUGGGACUGAGACACGACCCAGACUCCUACGGGAGGCAGCAGUGGGGAAUAUUGCACAAUGGGCGCAAGCCUGAUGCAGCGACGCCGCGUGAGGGAUGGAGGCCUUCGGGUUGUGAACCUCUUUCGCCAGUGAAGCAGGCCUGCCUCGUUUGUGGGUGGGUUGACGGUAGCUGGAUAAGAAGCGCCGGCUAACUACGUG